GCCCGCUUAGCUCAGUGGUAGAGCAUUGUACUUAUGGGAUGACGUGAUCAAACACCUGCGCACAUUUGCAAGGGUCGGCAGUUCAAACCUGCCAGUGGGCA